rnacentral:rRNA from 1 species
GAGUUUGAUCCUGGCUCAGAACGAACGCUGGCGGCGUGGAUAAGACAUGCAAGUCGAGCGCUGAUUUGAGGGUAGCAAUAUUUUCAAGUCGGAGCGGCGCAAGGGUGCGUAACACGUGGGAAUCUGCCUUGAAGUGUGGGAUAACUCCGAGAAAUCGGAGCUAAUACCGCAUGUGAUCGUAAGAUCAAAGUUGGGGAUCGCAAGACCUGACGCUUCAAGAUGAGCCCGCGGCCUAUCAGCUAGUUGGCGAGGUAAAAGCUCACCAAGGCUAAGACGGGUAGCUGGUCUGAGAGGACGACCAGCCACACUGGAACUGAGACACGGUCCAGACACCUACGGGUGGCAGCAGUCGAGAAUUUUUCUCAAUGGGCGAAAGCCUGAAGGAGCGACGCCGCGUGGGGGAUGAAUGGCUUCGGCCCGUAAACCCCUGUCAUUUGCGAACAAAUUGACUCACCUAACACGUGUGUCAUUGAUUGUAGCGGAAGAGGAAGGGACGGCUAACUCUGUGCCAGCAGCCGCGGUAAUACAGAGGUCCCAAGCGUUGUUCGGAUUCACUGGGCGUAAAGGGUGCGUAGGCGGUUGGGUAAGUCUGACGUGAAAUCUCCGGGCCUAACCCGGAAACUGCGUUGGAUACUAUCCGGCUAGAGGAAUGGAGGGGAGACUGGAAUACUUGGCGU